UGGUCACACAGACAUUUUCAGUUGGCGGCA
rnacentral:piRNA from 1 species